GACGAACGCUGGCGGCGUGCUUAACACAUGCAAGUCGAAGAUAGUGGCGACCGGGUGAGUAAUAAGUGGGUAACCUGCCCUCCUUUUUGGGAUAAGCAUUGGAAACGGGGACUACUACCGAAUAAGGGGGGAUGGGCUCGGGGCCUAUCAGCUUGUUUGUGGGGUGAUGGCCUACCAAGGCGGUGACGGGUAGCCGGCCUGAGAGGGGGAACGGGCACAUUGGGACGGAGAUGCGGCCCAUACUACUAAGGGGUGGAGCAUUGGGGGAUAUUGGACAAUGGGCGAAAGAGUGAUGCAGCGAGGCUGCGGGGGGGAUGAAGGCUUUAGGGUUGUAAACCUCUGUCGGUAUGGAACGGGUAGGUGGAGAAGAAGCGCCGGCUAACUACGUGCCAGCAGCCGCGGUAAUUC
rnacentral:rRNA from 1 species